rnacentral:piRNA from 1 species
CAUGCCCCAGGUCUAAUUGUUCU